GCAGCCGGGACUGCCUUUUUUUUUUCCUCCCCCCCCCCUUUUCUACUUUCCCUCCCUCUUUGACAAAAUGUCCCAGACCUCACAUUCAUCAAACUCACAUUUGAUUUUUUACACUCUUCAGUGAGGCUGCCUCACACUGCUUCCUCCUGCCACCCUCCCUCUCUCUGCCACUCUGCAACUGGAGUUCCCAGGAAUGCUUGCCCUUGUUUUCCAUGGGACGGUAUUUGGUGUUUGUUUGGUUUUAUAUAUAUAUUAAAAAUAUUUUUAAGACUGUCAAAAGUUUUAAGGUGGAAUUCUGUAUUUUAGCUAUGGAUGGCUGCAGAUUAAAAAAAAAAAGCUGUUUGUCCUGCCCCUUGGGUUUUGUGUCCUGUGUCUAGCCUCACACCCUCUUCACUUUUGAUUUUGGAGAACUGUGGGGUGCAUGGUUCUCCUUGGCUGUGAAAUUUUUCUAGGGGUGCAUAACAAGCACUGGUGAAAAGCAAAUCCUGCCUGUGAGAAUCCUUUCAUGCCCCAGUCAUUGGAAUGCCUCAAGUCACCUGUGAGAGUACUCUAAGGCUCCAUUCCUCUUCUUCCUCAGGGGACCAUGGCUCUCACAUCUAACUUUUCCAUGUCUGUUUAUGUCGGAGCAGACCUUCCGUUUCUUAGAACCACCAACUUUGAGUGGAACAGACCCACACACCCUUUCUUUCCAUUACCCUGGGUACAAGAAAGUUUAAGGAACUCCUAACUUGUAGCUGCAGAAUGAGUUAACUCACAUGUCAUGGUCAACCAGGCCAGACAACCUUUGACUUCUGGGAUCUAUAAGAGCUGGAGUGAAGUGGGAGGAUGUACAAUAGCUCAUUGUCACAGGAAACGCUCGUCCUGUGAGGAAGAGAGUCCCAGAAUCAUUGCUGUCCUCGUUAGGGUGGUGUCCGUUAAGGAUUAAUUCGUUAGCACUGCAUUCCUAGUUUUCUGUAAUUAUUAUUCUUACAGCAAGCGUGAAUUCUUCCAGGGAGUGAAAAGAAAAGUUUGCUGCCAGGACAAUGAAUGUAUUAUCCGUUCCUAACUGGACCGUGAACUUCAGCUCAUUUCACAUAGAUAUCAGUUUAAGAAAAGGAGAGUGUGUGUGAUGUUGAAGGGGGAGCCUGGCGAAUGGAAUUACAAAACAGGGCAUGGUGGCACUGUACGAUCUACAGAAAAAGUACUCUCCCUUCCCGGACAAACGGUGCUGUCAUUUUGGCAAGACGUAGGAAUUCGGAAGACUGAGACUAUUAAAAGUGAACUACUGCAGGAUUCUAUUCGUCUGCUGCCUGGGAUUCAGUAUGUCCAUCCCAAGGACUUGAGUAAAAGUAGUUGUGGAAGCCAUCAUGUGCAAGUCUACUUCCACAAUGGCUGGCAGCUUCGUGUUCGUGGAAACCCCUUGCCUGUGUUUGCCUGAAUUCAUGUCGUGAGCCGAAUUUCCCAUUUCAACUUUUGAAUGCUAAUUGUCAACUGAACAACUUCUCCAAAUGCCCGUUUUCUGCACACCCUCGAAGAUAAUGCCUAAUGAAGAUUUUCCUAGGAAUUGGCACCAGCCCUUUCAACAUAAUGACUGAAAUAACUUAGAAAUUGCCAAAUAAAUGAAAAUAAUUGCAAUAAAUGAAAAGAUUCAAAACGAACAGAACCGGGUAAUAAUAAAGCACAAGACAGUCUCAGUACCUGGGCUAUUUUUAGGAAAGUCCAUGGCAAACCUAUUUAUAGACCUUGAAUUGGAUGCAUUUACAUGCUCUUUUAAAAUAUAUUUAUACAGCAAGUGGCUUGAUCUGAGCUAAUUAUCAAAUGAUCAGCUUUAAGUAUCAGCCACCCUUGUAAAUAUACGUAACCAUAUCAUGUCUAAGAAUAUCCACCAAUCUCAGAUGUUUCUAUGCCCUCCAAACAUUCCUUUUCUCUCAGUAAUAGAUUCUAAGAAAACUCCAAAUGAGGGAGGGUUGGGCUUUUUUCUUCCACAUACAUUAAGAAUGUAUCCUUAUCGUUUUCUCUGAGGUCAGCCCUGUGCAACUGCUUUUCAAAUGCAAUUCACUGUUCUUAGAGAGAAGCAAAUACAUUAGACUAGGUCCUUUUUUUCUCCUUAAAUCUAAUUAGGAUCCAAAUGUGCUUCAUUCGGAAAUGUGAUUGGCUGCUUAAGCUAGCCUCUACUCUUCUGCUAUCGUUCUAAAAAAUCUUGAUUUCCUGUUGUUACGGUCAUGUUUCUCCUGUGAACUUUAGACAGUGAAAUAAAUGCUUUGUCCUUCCUUA